UCUCAUCGCGUUGAAGGUCGGGA
rnacentral:siRNA from 1 species